rnacentral:lncRNA from 1 species
AGUCAUUCAUUAAAUACAAAUAAUUGUUGUGAAUAAGUAUUUACCUUUGAAAUAGUGUCAUUUUAGCUACAUUUUAGUAAAUAACUAAAUAUGGAUAGACUAAAGUAGUUCGGAUUGAUUGCAGUGUUUCUGAAAAUCUAGGUGCUUCUUUGCCAUAAUCAGAAGAAUGCAGGGGCUUUUUACAGAUUUUACCAAUUUUCUCAUUGGAUCGUCACUCACUCUUUCUCUUGCCAAUUCCAUCUUCAAGGGCGACGCGCCACCUUAUCAAUGACACGCGCCGCUCUUGAACACUCACCCCGCGGUCCAGAAUCACCAAAAGCUCCACAAACACCGUCAUCACCUCCACCAGACGCCAUGAUCUACGAUCGAUUAGCUGAACACUCACCUCGCGGUGGCAAUUGAUAUUUUGCAGAACUCAGGGUUUGAGGAUGAUAUGAUAAAUCGCCAACGCAAUGUGAUUCUUCAGGAGACGGAAGAGGUAGUUAAAUACUCCUAUAAUUUAUUGGCUGGAUUUACUCCUUGUGUUGCUGGAUUUACUCCUUGUGUUUAGCGUCUGUAGUCUUUGUUGGUUAUAGUUUUCAUAUGGUAAAACUUCAUCCACUUUAUUAUCCUAGCGUGUUUGAUUGGACAUGGAAUGCAAGAUGUUAAGUCCACUUUUGAUUCCAGGAUUUCUCUGAAUUUUAAAGUGAUCAAAAGUAAGUUCCUAUACCGAGAACCAAUCCAAUUAAGUCUGUAGCAUCUACCAAUUUCUCCAUAUCCCCCUUUUCUUUUCAUGUGAGAUUAGGAUCUUGUUUUAAUGUCUUUCAUUUAUACGAGAACAAUUGAAUUGCUUAGUACUCAAUCCUGAUAUUGAAGUAAAGGUUGAUAAAUUAAUUUGAUACACUAAAGUUAAAAUUUGAAUGGUUAGAUGAAUAGCACCAAGAUUGAGGCCCACUAAUGACGAAGCUAUGUAUAAAUCCCCAUUAAGGCAAAAGAGUUACGUGACUUCUUCUCUUCUGCCUAAGUCUUAGUGGCCACUAUUACUCGAUACCUAUGUUGGUAGGAGAAUGCAAGUUCGUGGUGAAAAAUAGUCCAGAUGCGUGCAGGUUGGUGGGGCACCACUAUUGUCCCAAAAUAAAUGAAUUCUUGAAAGUUGUGAUAGUUAUAUGUAAUAUUUAUUAUUUACUGUCAAAUACUUUGAAACAUUUCAAAAUGGAUAGAGUGUCAUAUAAACAGGAACCAAGAGAGUACUAUUAAUGUUUUAAACAGAUAAUGGAAUUUUCAGCUGUGACCAGAAUAAUUUAUUGUUUGAUUGGAGUGAUUGUUAAAGCAAUGUUUUGAGAAUUCAACCGUCAUAUGUAUACCCGGGACUUCAUAAUGAUGCAUUUGUGGUCCUUGGAGACAGAAAGAGAAAAGUUGAUAGGAGUAAUAAGAGCUGUUUUUAAUCCAAUUAUGAACUAUUCUGAAGGACUGGUAAAUUUGGGAGUUUCGCAAGAUAAGCUGGAACUUGGAAGUAGCACCUAUAUUCAACCAAGUGCCUAUACUACUCUUAGUUGCUCCCUUUUUGUCGUUAAGAAUCAGUAGUUCAAGUAUAGUACAUGAAAUAAAUAAAAUUUUGAUAAGGUUUGGGCAACCGAAGCAUGAAUAAAUUUUUCUCUAAAAAAGAAUGUGUCAAAGCUCGAAACAACAACAACAACAAACCCAGUAUAUUCCCACAAGUGGGGUCUGGGGAUGGUAGUGUGCACGCAGAACUUACCCCUACCUAGUGAAGGCAGAGAGGCUUCAAAGCUCAAAAGACCUAAUAAAUUAUUUUGGGAGUGGUUACCGUCAGAUGACAUGUGCCUUUAUGAUUGGAAUUACCUCUUUUUGCUAGAUACACUAAGUUUUGUCUACUCUGAUUGUGUAAGAUCUAGAUUAAAGAGCUCAUUGAACUGAUGAUAAUUGACACUUCACGUUGGUGCAAAUCCCCUCCGCGUUUGAUCAGUUUAUGGCUUCUUGGUUGGUCCUAACCCUCAAAGGGCCUGACAUUAGCGGAAGAAUGAGAGAAAUUCUUAUUGAUUGGUUGGUUGAAGUCCACCACAGAUUUGAACUGAUCCAGAGACUCUUUGAUAGGGAAAAACUGGACCAGACAUGAACAUUUUUUUAUAUCUCCAUCUCGUUUCAUUUUUGGAUGAGUUUCACCUGUAGUUGAAUGCAAAUUUUGUGUCUAGAAACAGCUUUUAAUCUGGUGAAAUGGAAUACAUUCAUUCUUGAUUAAAGAAAUUGGUAGCUGUGUGAGGGCUUGAAAUCUCCCGGUAAAAGCUUAUUGUGCAAAAUGGAUUUGGUGUCUCAAUCUUCCAGACAGAGCUCUCUGGAAAAUGGUCAUUUGCACAAAAUAUGACAUGGACAAGAUCCCCUUCUCCACCUCUUGGCUUAGGUGUGCGGAAGCAUAUCCGAGUCCUUUGGAGCUACUUUUGGGAACAAUGCUCCUUAAAAGUAGGUGAUGGAAGAAAGAUUAAAUUUUGGCGAGACUUGUGGCUUGGCCAACCCCCCCUUAUGAACAGAUUUCCUGCUUUUUCUAGAUGUGCAUUCAACCAACACUCUUUCUUAGCCAAACUUGAGUCAAGUUGGCCCGCAUUCCAUCGUGGGCGUCACAUUCACCCCCCUCCCCCGAGGGGCUCAGCGUCCUCCUCACCACCGUACUGAGGGAGUGUCAGACUUUGAUACUAUAUUUGUCACAGCCUAAGCUGAUGGCAUAUUGGGGUGCACAUGAGACGGGUUGGUUUGGGUUUUACCAAAGAACUAUCAAUUUUGUCGGUUUUAUCGUGUUUUUUCGUUUUUUUCCACAUGAAUAUUAUUUCAUUACUUUAUUAAAGUUAUAGAUAAAAUUUUAAUAAGUUAAUAUAUAUUUGGUAUGAAUUAAACAAAUUAACAAACAUAUGAUCUAUUAAAAUAUUCUUAUGAGAUAAUUUUUUGGUAACACAUUAUAGUUAUUUUUUUAGUCUAACAAUAAUUUUCAUUGAUGUACGUUUCAAGCUUAACCGAAUUUUAAUAAUUAAAACAAAAAUCAUAUAAAGCCUAAGUAAUGAUAUGUUCUGUUUAAUUUUAAAACUUACAGAUAAAACACCAUUUCAAAUUUGAAAAAGAUAUAAGAUUUUAAUAGAUCUUAACAUAUGAACAUGGGAGAACAAAGAGAUUGACGCAAUUCAAUAACACAAGAUAAGAAAGUAAUGAUACACGUUAAAAUCAAGUAUUAUUUAAAGUAAAUAAAAAUAGAUGCACUUUAUACUUCUAUGAAAUAUUACAUUCAUGAAAGGAUCACAAAUAUUUCUAGACAUUUUUAGUAGAAAUCCUAAAUAAAAGUUUAGAAGUAUAUAUAAAAAUUAUAUACUUAUAUGUCGGUUUGAUUCGGAUUUUUUACUCAAUACCAAACCAAAUCAAACCUAGUCGGGUUUUUCAAUCAGUAUGGUUUGACUUUUCGGUUAGAUGUAGUUUUCUGAACACCCCUAAUGGCACGUCUCAUCCACUUUGGCGCAACAGACCUCACAGAUUACGCCAUCAUCGUGCCCAAAAGGGCGCAUACCGUGUGAAUUUGUGUUAUGCCGUAUAACACUCUUCACUUUCCUCUCCAUUCCGAUGUGAGAUUCGCUUAAGGUGUUAUGCACCCCUUCUUCAGAAGCUUGCCAGUCCUUCUCUUUGACCCGUCCUCCAUCAUGGGCAUCACAACUAGAGAGUAUGAAGGGGGGGGGGGGGGAAGACGACGUAAUAGAAGAGGAAAAUGGGAAGAGCUCCUUGUUGUGAUAAGGCUAAUGUGAAGACAGGGCGAUACCGCGAUAGUCACCUGAAGAAGAUGCUAAGCUCAAAGAUUUUAUUGUAAAUAUGGAAGUGGUGGAUAUUGGAUUGCUCUUACUCAAAAAGCUGGUAAUUAAAGACUUCUAAUCAAAUGUGUGUGUCUCUGUGUGUAUUGAUGGGAUAUAUAUUUGGAUCAGUAUGAAAGAGAUGUGAGAAUAGUUGCAGAUUGAGAUGGCUAACUUAUCUUAGACCUAACAUCAAGCAUGGUAAUUUUUCUGAUGAGGAUGGAGUGAAACAAAAGAGUGAAUUGAAGCUGCUGCAUCCAAAUUAAAUAAAGGGUGUACUUUUUAUUCAGCUAUUUCCAUCUCUUGUUUGAUUUUUCUCUAAAUUUGACUUUUAUCUUCUUUUAGAUAAUUCUGUCGUAUUUUAACAUCAGACCAUAUGAUGAGUACCUCUUUUUUGAAAGAAAAUAAGACCUGGUGUAUGUCUUUCAUCUCUUAAAAUUAAAAUGACCAUCCGGCAUAACAUGCAAAUGAACUAAAACAUAACAAAUUUCAAACAACAUUUAUAGAUGAACAUACCUUGUAAUGUUGACGGGUCUACUUAUCCUUCAACCAUGUACUAUUCCUUAAACAUUGUACAUACAAAAACAAAGAACUAUUAUAUAAUGAUUAGCAGGGAAAACCAAAGCACAUAAAUAUCCAUAGUAUCUUGAGGAGAUUGAAACGUAAGGACCUUUCAAGUGUUAAAUUAAUUUACUACCUCCAUUUUAUAUUCUCUUUAUUUUUCAUCCCUGAAAUUGUUAAAUGAGGGGUUUAAGUGAAAUGGAGGCCUUAUUUAGAAUUAGUAGACUUGUGGGUUUUUAAAUCUAAAUAUACAAUAAAAAUCCUAUCUCUAAAAUCAGAUAUCUUGACUUCUUCGUCAUCUUCGAGUUCGAACACAAUUGCUCUUUUAUUACUCCUUCAAUGCUCCUUCACUCUCAAAACUAAUCACCAUGCUCGUCGAUUAUACCACGAGCCUAUAUGGGUUAGCUGAUUGCAAAUGACUGAUAGGCUUGAAGUACUGAAAAGAAUUUUUAAGUGCUUAAACUGAUGUUAUAAAUAAGUAGUUACGUAUUUGGAUAGAAAUACUGACAUUGAUAAUAAGCAAGUGAUAUAUUUGGUAAAAAAAAUGUCGAUAAGCUUUUGUUUUACAAAAAAUUAUAAAUCUAAAAGUAGCUUUGUAAAGAACUAAAAGUAGCUUUGUAAAGAAAAGGAGGAGCGGCAAAUUAAUGGAAUGAAGAAAAUUUAGGAGUUUUAUUUUGGGAAAGGUAUUUUUUGAGUUAGAAAAAUAUUAUUAAGGAUAAAACAGUAAAAGUCUUGGUCAACCUAUAAGUGCUUAUAAGCUGAAAAGUCAUAAGGGUAACCAACUUAUGAUUUUUGGCUGAUUUUGGCUUAUAAACACUUCACUUAUAAGCACUUUUGAUGACAAGAGUGGGUUGCUCUACUGGUGAGCACCCUCCACUUCCAACCAAGUGGUUUUGAGUUCGAGUCACCCCAAGAGCAAGGUGGGGAGUUCUCGGAGGGAGGGAGCCGGGGGUCUAUCGGAAACAACCUCUCUACCCCAGGGUAGGGGUAAGGUCUGCGUACACACUACCCUCCCCAUACCCCACUAGUGGGAUAAUACUGGGUUGUUGUUGUUGUUGUUGUUAUAAGCACUUUGGGUAGAUAAGUCAAAAAGUUCUUAUAAGCCAAUUUGAUCAGCUUAUAAGCUUAUGCAAACACUCUCUAUGACCUUCGUUCGCUGGCAACUCUCAUCGAACCACAUACAGAAGCUUUGUACACUGGUCCCUGAUCUUUGAUUACGCAAUCACCGAUUCAGCAUUCCUCUCAACUACUCUCUCGAUUAUCGCUCCUCCCCUUAAAUCUAUGUCUUCGCUUGCGAAGCCGUUGCUGGUAAUAUGGUUCCCGUAACUCUGUCUAGUAGACUUCACACUUUAUUAUCUAAUUCAAAACAGAUAAUGAGGAUCUUCAUAAUUCUAUUUCAUUCUAUUUUAGGCAGUGUUUGGCCUUGGUUAAGCUUAUUAAGGACUAAAAAAGUAACUUUCAGAAAUAAGUACUCUAAUUUUCAGCGUAACUGAUAUGUAAAGUACGAGGAGAAGUUUUAUACAAUUAAAUGUUUUGGUUAUCAAAGUACUAGGAGAAGUUUUUCAAAUAUUGUUUAAGUUAUUAGAUUCAAAAGUAAUAUACUGGUUUCGCAUAUGUUCUGCUAACUUAUGCACUUUAGCACGCUUUAUGUAUUUAUUCAGCUGGAAUCGCCGGCACACAUCGUUCUCUUCUCUCUGUGUAUUUACCUUUUUCCCCAUAAAAAUUUGGUCUUGUGGUGGUUUCUGCAAAUUAUUCUUCUUCGUCUCUUGCAAAUUUCCCUGUUUGGAUCACCCAGGUUAGUCAAGACGACAAUUCUGAAAUUCUAUAUAGUAUCUAAUUGAAAUGACAAAAUGAUCUUGUUUCUUGGAAGAUGAUUCAAGCUAGCUAAGUGAACAGAUUUGCUAAUACAAUUGGGGAAAAUGCUUCUUUUUUUGCUUUAAUAAAAGUAUUCCUUCCCCAUCCCUAUUCCAUGUGCUCCAAUCAUAGUUCAAACAAAAAAUUAUAGUUUAAAAUAUGUGUUUAAAAUAUGUCUGCAGUUAGUUUCCAUUAGUGUGAUACAUUAUUGUUGGCUUGUACUGUGUAUUGUGUAGCCCUAAGCAUCUGAAUAAUUUAGCACUAUCCUAGGUUAAGCCUGUAAAUUUAGGCCCUGUUUUCUGGUAGCUUUUUAAAAUAGCAGAUUCGGCAAUGCAAUUUGUUACAGCAGAUGACAAUGAAUUACAUUCGUAGGGAUCCUACACAUUUCUGUUUUGAAUUUUGCUUACUGCCUUUCUCAUUAUUUCUAUAUAGAAGAAUAAUGUAUUUAUUUGCAGCCAUUUGAUGAUGAAAAGUGAAAGAGACGGAUUGCGAAGCAACGCUGUGCAGUGCUUGUUUAUCAGUCAACUAAGUACUUGUCUUGUACUUAGUUGUUUCUGCAGGCCAACUUAUUUGUCCAUGUCAAAGGUUGGGUUGAAGAGGUGCAUUUUGCUUGUAGCAUGUCAAGUGCUCUUUCAGUCAUUUUGGUAAUCUCGUCUGUUUAAUAAGUUCUCUAAAAUAAGAAUGCAUUUUCCAUGUCUUCAUGUUAUCUAAUAUAGCCUUAAAUUAAUAGCAGCAAUGCUAUUCUGCAAAUCUCCUCGGGGUUGCUGAUUACCUAUAAGUCUUAAGGUUUUAUCCGUACAUUUGAUAAGAAACCUACUGGUCUUUAAUCUUUGAGUUCCCUCUUGGUAUUUCCUUUUCGAUUUAUAUGCUGAUAAACUAUGUUUUUCGGGGUCCUCUUCCUUUUUUCCCCUUCCCCUGUUACAUCUUCUAGCAGUUAUUUACAACAGUUUAUGCUAUUUACUUGUUACUUCUUCAAUAGAAACAACAAUGAUUUGUCAGGAUAUUGAUUUCGGAGGCAUUUUACAACUAAUUGGUUGUAUCCAGGUGUGCAUUCGUGCUUUUCCAGGCAGUCGGUUGGGAUUGCGAGGAAUUUAGAGUAGAUUGAAAGCAUAUGAAAAUGGUGAGAGAUAGAGAUGGAGAAAAAGAUAGAUAUGGAAUUGAACAAGUUAGAGGUUGAGAUUUAUCACAUUUGAGGUUGAAUCGAGCGACAUUAUUGACAAAGUCAAAGCUU